AUGACGACGGCGGCGGAGCGAGCUCGCCGCCCACACCUCCCUCAAGCCCAAGCCCAAGCCCAAGCCCAAGCCCCGGUAAACUCCAAUUCCAUGCCCUCCCUCUUGGUUAGAGAUCUCGUCGUCGUUGGAAUUCAGGGUGGGGGAAAAGAGGGUUCUAUGGUUCGUCUUGUUAUGAGCCUGGACCGGCAUUUCAGGAGAGCCAGAGUGGAGAGCAGGUUUGAUUUUUUUCCCCCACCCGUCUGGCAUGUUACUCGUAUGCUGCAUUUGGGCUCCAAGAAGUUUGGUAUAUCUAAUGUACGUUAUUUGGCAGGGACAUCGUAUGAACCCGUCAGCUUUGCUGCUCAACAGCCGGAUGCUACUGUCUUCAUUCCAUCAGGAUCUCAAAUGAAAGCUGAAUAUACUCCCUCCGUCCGGAAAAAGUUGUCUCCGACGACAUUUUGCGAAAAUCACCUCCCCUUUCCUCCGACAAACAACACACUCCCCGCGCCAGAGCCAGAGCUCCCUUGCUCGUCUCCCCCUCGCCGGAGCUCCCCCGCGCCAGAGCUCACCUCCUCUGCUCCCCCGCAUAGCUCUCCCGCGCGUCGCCGGAGCUCCCUCUCCCCACGCCACUGCCGCGUUGCUUCCCCCCUCCUCGUUCCUCUCAUCGUCCCCCCAUGGCGAAUCACGGCGAGGAAGGCUCGACUUUUUUCGAUCUGCUAUCCGACGGCGUCCUUCCCCGAGGGCGGCGAGCCGGAGCUUCCCCUGCGCGUCGUCGACCACCUCCUCAUUGGCUGGACGCCGUCGACCACGAACCCAGUAUUCUCCAAGCGCACGCCGCUGUGUGGGUCGCCGAGACGCCGAGGCCGAGGCGGAGCUCCAGGCCAUCGAGGUCGCGUACGCCGCCGAGUCCGGCAAGCGCCGCCAACUCCCAGACUGGUCCAAGGCACCCGCCCCCGCCUCCGUCUGCCCAUAGCCCAACCCAGUCCCCUCGCCCCCCUCCUGCCAAGGUUCGUGUACAUGGCCACCCCCCAUGGAUAUGCAUUGGGGCGCUCCUGGGAGAGAGGAUUCAUGGCCAUCCUAGCUAGCUGCUAG
rnacentral:rRNA from 1 species